rnacentral:rRNA from 1 species
GGCGAAAUCCAUGAUCCUAUGCUGCCGAGAAAAGCCUCUAGCGAGCUGGUACAUGGCCCGUACCCCAAACCGACACAGGUGGUCAGGUAGAGAAUACUAAGGCGAUCGAGAGAACUGUGGUUAAGGAACUCGGCAAAAUGCCCCCGUAACUUCGGGAGAAGGGGGACCAGUCCUGGUGACGACAUUUACUGUCUGAGCUGGGGUUGGUCGCAGAGACCAGAGAGAAGCGACUGUUUACUAAAAACACAGGUCCGUGCGAAGUCGUAAGACGAUGUAUACGGACUGACGCCUGCCCGGUGCUGGAAGGUUAAGAGGACCGGUCAGCCACUUCGGUGGCGAAGCUGAGAAUUUAAGCCCCAGUAAACGGCGGUGGUAACUAUAACCAUCCUAAGGUAGCGAAAUUCCUUGUCGGGUAAGUUCCGACCUGCACGAAUGGCGUAACGACUUCUCUGCUGUCUCAACCACAGACUCGGCGAAAUUGCAGUACGAGUAAAGAUGCUCGUUACGCGCGGCAGGACGAAAAGACCCCGGGACCUUCACUAUAGCUUGGUAUUGGUGUUCGGUUCGGUUUGUGUAGGAUAGGUGGGAGACUGUGAAACUCGCACGCCAGUGUGGGUGGAGUCAUUGUUGAAAUACCACUCUGACCGUAUUGGACAUCUAACCUCGGACCAUGGUCUGGUUCAGGGACAGUGCCUGGUGGGUAGUUUAACUGGGGCGGUUGCCUCCUAAAAAGUAACGGAGGCGCCCAAAGGUUCCCUCAGCCUGGUUGGCAAUCAGGUGUUGAGUGUAAGUGCACAAGGGAGCUUGACUGUGAGACGUACAUGUCGAGCAGGGACGAAAGUCGGGACUAGUGAUCCGGCACCGGCAAGUGGAAGCGGUGUCGCUCAACGGAUAAAAGGUACCCCGGGGAUAACAGGCUGAUCUUCCCCAAGAGUCCAUAUCGACGGGAUGGUUUGGCACCUCGAUGUCGGCUCGUCGCAUCCUGGGGCUGGAGUAGGUCCCAAGGGUUGGGCUGUUCGCCCAUUAAAGCGGCACGCGAGCUGGGUUUAGAACGUCGUGAGACAGUUCGGUCUCUAUCCGCCGCGCGCGUAAGAAACUUGAGGAAACCUGUCCCUAGUACGAGAGGACCGGGACGGACGAACCUCUGGUGUGCCAGUUGUUCCACCAGGAGCACCGCUGGUUAGCUACGUUCGGAAGGGAUAACCGCUGAAAGCAUCUAAGCGGGAAGCCUGUUCCAAGAUGAGGUUUCUCACCACCUAGCGUGGUUAAGGCCCCCCACAGACCAUGGGGUUGAUAGGCCAGAACUGUAAGCACAGCAAUGUGUUCAGGUGACUGGUACUAAUCGGCCGAGGACUUAC